rfam:Desulfurispirillum indicum S5, complete genome.
CCUGGUACCUAUAGGGCAGAGGCCACACCCGUUCCCAUUCCGAACACGGAAGUUAAGCUCUGUUCCGCCUACGAUACUUGGGCUUAAGCCCUGGGAAAAUCGGACGGUGCCUGGC